rnacentral:rRNA from 1 species
CCUACGGGAGGCAGCAGUAGGGAAUCUUUCACAAUGGGCGAAAGCCUGAUGGAGCAACGCCGCGUGCAGGAUGAAGGCCCUCGGGGUUGUAACUGCCUUUAUAAGAGAGAAAUAUGAGGGUAACUUAUGAAUAAGGAUCGGCUAACUACGUGCCAGCAGCUGCGGUCAUACGUAGGAUCCGAGCAUUAUCCGGAGUGACUGGGUGUAAAGAGUUGCGUAGGUGGCAUAAUAAGUAGCUAGUGAAAUCUGGUGGCUCAACCAUUCAGACUAUUAGCUAAACUGUUAAGCUCGAGACCGUUAGGGGUAACUGGAAUUUCUAGUGUAGGAGUGAAAUCCGUAGAUAUUAGAAGGAACACCAAUAGCGAAGGCAGGUUGCUGGGAUGGUUCUGACACUAAGGCACGAAAGCGUAGGGAGCAAACGGGAUUAGAUACCCGGGUAGUC